UUCUUAUCAAGAGUGGUGGAGGGACUGGCCCGAUGAAACCCAGCAACCGGUAUUCGGAUGAAUACAACGGUGCUAAUUCCUGCGAUGGAAGCAUUGAUAGAUGAGAG
rnacentral:ncRNA from 20 species